CCUGGCUCAGGAUGAACGCUAGCUACAGGCUUAACACAUGCAAGUCGAGGGGCAGCAUGGUCUUAGCUUGCUAAGGCCGAUGGCGACCGGCGCACGGGUGAGUAACACGUAUCCAACCUGCCGUCUACUCUUGGACAGCCUUCUGAAAGGAAGAUUAAUACAAGAUGGCAUCAUGAGUCCGCAUGUUCACAUGAUUAAAGGUAUUCCGGUAGACGAUGGGGAUGCGUUCCAUUAGAUAGUAGGCGGGGUAACGGCCCACCUAGUCUUCGAUGGAUAGGGGUUCUGAGAGGAAGGUCCCCCACAUUGGAACUGAGACACGGUCCAAACUCCUACGGGAGGCAGCAGUGAGGAAUAUUGGUCAAUGGGCGAGAGCCUGAACCAGCCAAGUAGCGUGAAGGAUGACUGCCCUAUGGGCUGUAAACUUCUUUUAUAAAGGAAUAAAGUCGGGUAUGGAUACCCGUUUGCAUGUACUUUAUGAAUAAGGAUCGGCUAACUCCGUGCCAGCAGCCGCGGUAAUACGGAGGAUCCGAGCGUUAUCCGGAUUUAUUGGGUUUAAAGGGAGCGUAGAUGGAUGUUUAAGUCAGUUGUGAAAGUUUGCGGCUCAACCGUAAAAUUGCAGUUGAUACUGGAUAUCUUGAGUGCAGUUGAGGCAGGCGGAAUUCGUGGUGUAGCGGUGAAAUGCUUAGAUAUCACGAAGAACUCCGAUUGCGAAGGCAGCCUGCUAAGCUGCAACUGACAUUGAGGCUCGAAAGUGUGGGUAUCAAACAGGAUUAGAUACCCUGGUAGUCCACACGGUAAACGAUGAAUACUCGCUGUUUGCGAUAUACUGCAAGCGGCCAAGCGAAAGCGUUAAGUAUUCCACCUGGGGAGUACGCCGGCAACGGUGAAACUCAAAGGAAUUGACGGGGGCCCGCACAAGCGGAGGAACAUGUGGUUUAAUUCGAUGAUACGCGAGGAACCUUACCCGGGCUUAAAUUGCAGAUGAAUUACGGUGAAAGCCGUAAGCCGCAAGGCAUCUGUGAAGGUGCUGCAUGGUUGUCGUCAGCUCGUGCCGUGAGGUGUCGGCUUAAGUGCCAUAACGAGCGCAACCCUUGCCGAUAGUUACUAACAGGUCAUGCUGAGGACUCUGUCGGGACUGCCAUCGUAAGAUGUGAGGAAGGUGGGGAUGACGUCAAAUCAGCACGGCCCUUACGUCCGGGGCUACACACGUGUUACAAUGGGGGGUACAGAGGGCCGCUACCACGCGAGUGGAUGCCAAUCCCCAAAACCUCUCUCAGUUCGGACUGGAGUCUGCAACCCGACUCCACGAAGCUGGAUUCGCUAGUAAUCGCGCAUCAGCCACGGCGCGGUGAAUACGUUCCCGGGCCUUGUACACAC
rnacentral:rRNA from 1 species